GACGAACCGUCCAAACGUUGUUCGGAAUCACUGGGCUUAAAGGGCGCGUAGGCGGGUUCCCAAGUCGGUGGUGAAAUCUUUCGGCCCAACCGGAAAACAGCCGCCGAUACUGGGAGUCUUGAGGGAGGUAGGGGUCGAUGGAACUUCCGGUGGAGCGGUGAAAUGCGUAGAUAUCGGAAGGAACGCCGGUGGCGAAAGCGAUCGACUGGACCUUUUCUGACGCUGAGGCGCGAAAGCCAGGGGAGCAAACGGG
rnacentral:rRNA from 1 species